rnacentral:rRNA from 1 species
AGAGUUUGAUCCUGGCUCAGAUUGAACGCUGGCGGAAUGCUUUACACAUGCAAGUCGAACGGCAGCACGGGAGCUUGCUCCUGGUGGCGAGUGGCGAACGGGUGAGUAACAUAUCGGAACGUACCUAGUAAUGGGGGAUAACUAGUCGAAAGAUUAGCUAAUACCGCAUACGCCCUGAGGGGGAAAGCGGGGGAUCGUAAGACCUCGCGUUAUUAGAGCGGCCGAUAUCUGAUUAGCUAGUUGGUGGGGUAAAAGCCUACCAAGGCGACGAUCAGUAGCUGGUCUGAGAGGACGACCAGCCACACUGGAACUGAGACACGGUCCAGACUCCUACGGGAGGCAGCAGUGGGGAAUUUUGGACAAUGGGCGCAAGCCUGAUCCAGCCAUUCCGCGUGAGUGAAGAAGGCCUUCGGGUUGUAAAGCUCUUUCGCAAGGGAAGAAACGAUGCAGUCGAAUAAACUGCGUUAAUGACGGUACCUUGAUAAGAAGCACCGGCUAACUACGUGCCAGCAGCCGCGGUAAUACGUAGGGUGCGAGCGUUAAU